CAGCCACGGCGAACAACCGGGCGAGCCCGGCAACGGCUCGCCUGAGGAAACUUCCCCACGACACCGUGGGUCCCCGCGGGGCAACCCGCCGACCGAGAGGUCGCUGGGGAACAACGGCCCAAAUAGGGACCUGUGAUCUCCACGGGUGAGGUCCGGGUAGGGCCUUAGACGAAUAGUACAGAAGGGGAGUUAUGCCGUGGCUG
rnacentral:RNase_P_RNA from 21 species